rnacentral:tRNA from 1 species
AUUUUAAUAGUUUAUUUAAAAUAUUAAAUUGCAAAUUUAAAGAAAAUUAUAAAUUUUAAAAUU